rnacentral:rRNA from 1 species
UUUCUGGAGGAAGAGAAAGGACGGUACUCCAGGAAUAAGGAUCGGCUAACUACGUGCCAGCAGCCGCGGUAACACGUAGGAUCCGAGCGUUAUCCGAAUUUACUGGGCGUAAAGCGCGUGUAGGCGGCCGGGUAAGUUGGACGUGAAAUCUCCUGGCUCAACUAGGAGAGGUCGUUCAUAACUGCCUGGCUAGAGGGCGACAGAGGGAGGUGGAAUUCCCGGUGUAGUGGUGAAAUGCGUAGAUAUCGGGAGGAACACCAGUGGCGAAGGCGGCCUCCUGGGUCGCCCCUGACGCUCAGACGCGAAAGCUAGGGGAGCAAACGGGAUUAGAUACCCCGGUAGUCC